rfam:Prevotella timonensis CRIS 5C-B1 contig00065, whole genome shotgun sequence.
GGUUGUGUCGAUUUGAUCGGGAUACUCAUCAAUAAAAACAUGAAACCGAGAAGACUUCUUUUGUUAAUGGCGGGCCACAUAAAUCCUUUUAGGACUAAGCUGUAAAGCCGGUGGAUUACAAAGACGGAGAGCUCUCAAAUCUUAUAUAGUUCGGAGUUUCAUCACAUCAUCGAGCAACCCCUUUU